GAGAACACUAGACACUAAAAUCCUUUAUUUAUACACUGAAUAGGCAAAGGAUGGCAGUGGCAGUUCAAACUUUCCCCAUAUUGCUUUAACACUCUGCCUCAACCCUGACCUUAGGAAAAAGAGCACAGUUCAAUAUCAUGGAAAUCUAUCCUUUUACUUU
rnacentral:sRNA from 1 species